GACGAACGCUGGCGGCGUGCCUAAUACAUGCAAGUAGAACGCACAGUUUAUACCGUAGCUUGCUACACCAUAGACUGUGAGUUGCGAACGGGUGAGUAACGCGUAGGUAACCUGCCUGGUAGCGGGGGAUAACUAUUGGAAACGAUAGCUAAUACCGCAUAAUAUUAAUUAUUGCAUGAUAAUUAAUUGAAAGGUGCAAUUGCACCACUACCAGAUGGACCUGCGUUGUAUUAGCUAGUAGGUGAGGUAACGGCUCACCUAGGCGACGAUACAUAGCCGAACUGGGAGGGUGAACGGCCACACUGGGACUGAGACAAGGCCCAGAAUCCUACGGGAAGCAGCAGUAGGGAAUCUUCGGCAAUGGACGAAAGUCUGACCGAGCAACGCCGCGGGAGUGAAGAAGGGUUUCGGAUCGUAAAGCUCUGUUGUAAGAGAAGAACGGGUGUGAGAGUGGAAAGUUCACACUGUGACGGUAUCUUACCAGAAAGGGACGGCUAACUACGUG
rnacentral:rRNA from 1 species